GACUGGCGAUUGGGACGAAGUCGUAACAAGGUAGCCGUACCGGAAGGUGCGGCUGGAUCACCUCCUUUCUAAGGAGCA
rnacentral:rRNA from 1 species